rnacentral:tRNA from 1 species
GUAUAUAUAGCUCAAGUGGUAGAGCAUGUGCUUAGCAUGCACAGGGUCCUGGGUUCAAUCCCCUGCACCUCCA